rnacentral:rRNA from 1 species
GACGGACGGUGCAAGCGUUGCUCGGAAUCACUGGGCGUAAAGGGUGCGUAGGCGGCCGUGCAAGUCUGGCGUGAAAGCCCCGGGCUCAGCCCGGGAAGUGCGCUCGAAACUGCGCGGCUCGAGUGCCGGAGGGGAGAGUGGAAUUCCCGGUGUAGCGGUGAAAUGCGCAGAUAUCGGGAGGAACACCAGUAGCGAAGGCGACACUCUGGGCCGGUACUGACGCUGAGGAGCGAAAGCGUGGGGAGCAAACAGG